rnacentral:sRNA from 1 species
UCUUACACCCUGACUCUGCCAUAUUUUGGUGCCAGAUCUAUCAGUGGUUGGGUACUGGGGACAGCAGCUAGGUAGCCAUGCUUCUGUGGCACACACUUUACUGAUUAGCAUUUUAAUUUUAGUAUUAUUUUCUCCACUCAUCCGAUCAAACAUAACUCUGCUGUGUACAUGCCCACCUUUGUUGCUGACAAGGUUCUGACAGAGCAAAUAUAAAGGGGUGGAAAAAGAGAAAGAUGACAAGGAGGAUCAUAAGCACUGAGUUUUGAACACAAAACCCGAUUCACAAUAGACUACAAAUGCAAACGCAGUGUACUUUUGCACCUAUAGGUGACCCUUGAAGUCAAUGACAGGCAAAAUCUCUACCUGGCUCGUCGCACUCUGGUUCACAAAGUCUUGCACAAGUUAAGUUUUCUGUGGAGCUGCAGCUUAUAUCCUCAGUAUCAAAUCCAUGCUUGGAAGAAAGAUCUGAAAGGAAAUGGAAGAAACUAUCAGCAAAGUGCCACUAAAGUCAUAUUCUGAAAAAAAUGUUGACAUAACAGCUCUUAACCUGAACUUGGAUAACAAUAUGAGUCUCCUCGUCAUGACAUUUUUGAAGACAAAUCUAUCUUUGCUGGAGUCUGGGUUUAACAAAGCAGCAGGAAAGUGGAUUCAAGAAAGGAGAGAGCAACAGAGAGGCCCCAAACUCUCUACAAACAUACUCUGUGUAAAUCCUUAACUCCUGAACUAUGUUUGCUGUGGAGUUCAUGAAGGACUCUUAAGACUGAAAACACUUAACAGAGACUUCAACUUACUCCUCAUGUGGGGGAGAGUUUAUAAAUUUUGAGCCAAACCGACAACUUACUGUGAAAUAAACAAGAAUCAACUCUCAUUAGUGGGAGAUAGCAGAAUUUAAACAACAGCCACAGAAGAAAAACAGGAAAACACAGCUAGCUGAUCCUCAAAUGUGAAGGCUUCUUAAGAAAGAAAGAGCUGGAUGUCUGCUUUCUCCAUCACUGUUCACCACAGCACUAAAAGUCCCAACAGAACAGUGAGGCAAUAAAGAGAAAUAAAAGGUAUCCAAACUGAAAAGGAGGUAGUCAAAUUAUGUCUGUUUGCAGAUAUUGUGAUAUUAUACAUAAGUGCAAGGCUUUGACAAAAUAAAAUCUGGAAUAAAGAAAUUCAAUAAAUUUUCAGGAUAAAAAA